rnacentral:lncRNA from 1 species
UUAGGAGAAUUAUUCUUUGAACAUGAGAAAUGGGUGAUUAUAACUCUUUAGUUUAAAUAUCCUAUUAUUCCUUGUAUAAGAGAAUUAUGUCACGAGUUUUUGUUUCCCGUACCCAUUAUGCUGCAUUUCCUUUUCUUUGAUAACUUAUACCUAUGUAUAUAAUUUAAUUUUCUUUUAUUUUAUUUUCUUUUAAUUUCAUCAUUUGCAUACUCGUGACCCCUUUAAGGAAUUAUUUUGGCCUUCACAAUCAAUGCGAUUGGUAUCAAUUAAAUCCUUGAAUGGAUAUUUUGUCUCUUCCGAUAUUUUAUAAAUUUAGAUUUGCAUUCAU